AUUGAACGCUGGCGGCAGGCUUAAUACAUGCAAGUCGAACGGUAACAUAGCGAAAGCUUGCUUUUGCUGAUGACGAGUGGCGGACGGGUGAGUAGUAUCUGGGAAACUGCCCUGAAGAGGGGGACAACAGCUGGAGACGGCUGCUAAUACCGCAUAAGCCCUGAGGGGGAAAGGAAGGCAACUUCCGCUUCAGGAUGUGCCCAGAAGGGAUUAGCUGGUAGGUGAGGUAAAGGCUCACCUAGGCGACGAUCUCUAGCCGGUCUGAGAGGAUGACCGGCCACAUCGGGACUGAGACACGGCCCGGACUCCUACGGGAGGCAGCAGUAGGGAAUAUUGCACAAUGGGGGGAACCCUGAUGCAGCCAUGCCGCGUGUGUGAAGAAGGCCUUCGGGUUGUAAAGCACUUUCAGCGGGGAGGAAAUUAAGUUAGACGUUACCCGCAGAAGAAGCGCCGGCUAACUCCGUG
rnacentral:rRNA from 1 species